GUCAAAAUCUCGACUUACAACAAAAGGUUUUCAAUUACCGUCUAAGCAGAGCCAGAAGAUAUGUCGAAUGCGCUUUUGGGAUUAUGGCUAACAAAUGGCGCAUUUUUCACAGACCGAUAGACGUGUCCUAUGACUUCGCUACUGACAUUAUAAAAGCAUGUUGUGUAUUACACAAUUUUGUCGCUGAUCGAGAUGGUUUUAGACAAAGAGAUAAAUUUGCUAUAAGUGUUGAUGAAUUUCUCCCAAUACAACCCGUACAUGAAGAACAGACAGCACCGAAUGUCAUAAGACAGCAAUAUGCGACCUAUUUUAUGACUAGAGGAACUCUGCCUUGGCAGCUAAAUAAGCUGUGAAAUUCUCGUAAUCAGGAAAUAAAACUUUUGAUAUGUCUUCCCAGG